UCAUCUCUUGAUUCUCCUUUUUACCCCGUGACUGUUCCUAUUGAUUGUUCUUCAUAGAUUUUCAUUCCUCUACCUACUGCUUAAAUGUUGAUAUUCCCAUUUUAGAACAGGACCCCACUUCUUUUUUAUUUUACAUAUGUACAUUUAUCAUAUUCAUUCUCUUUAAUAUAAUGUUUCCUUCAGUAAAUCUUACUGCCUCUCUAUUCUCUAAUGGAGAUAACUGGUAGUUCAUCCCAUGUGAAGACUGGCUUCUGGCGAGACAUCCCAGGCCCCUCACCUUGGAGGACACAGGAACACAGGGCUUUAGCCUUCCCAGCGAGCCUAUUAUGUUCCCUUUCUCUCUUCAGAGACCCGUCCAUGUCUCUCUACUUUUCUCCUCUGCCGUCAGAGAAGUACGAAAGGUCACUCAGGGGGUCUAGAGUCUCUUCAUUCAGGCCAAGACUUUCACUCUUCAAAAACUCAUAAUUGGAACAAUCACUGGGGACCAAGUUGGUGCAAACACAGGCUUUCCUGUAUGAUGAGAAGCUGGUCAAGGAUGUGUAACGGUCUCUGUCACCCAGGCUAAGGUGCAAUCACUGCUCUCUGCAGCUUCAACCUCCUGGGCUCAAGCAAUCCCACUGGAGGAUUUUAAGAAAGCCAGACCUAUUAAGAAUAUGUACUAGUGGAAACUUGAUGAGAGAGCAAGGGUGAAUCUAUACAAAGAAUCUGACACUUAAAAAGACAGCUCAGGCCGGGCGCAGCGGCUCACGCCUGUAAUCCCAGCACUUAGGGAGGCCGAGGCAGGUGGAUCACGAGGUCAGAAG